UACGUAGGGGGCAAGCGUUGUCCGGAAUCAUUGGGCGUAAAGAGCGUGUAGGCGGUUCGGUAAGUCGGCUGUGAAAGUCCAGGGCUCAACCCUGGGAUGCCGGUCGAUACUGCCGGACUAGAGUUCGGAAGAGGCGAGUGGAAUUCCCGGUGUAGCGGUGAAAUGCGCAGAUAUCGGGAGGAACACCGGUGGCGAAGGCGGCAUCCUGGACCAAUAUUGACGCUGAGGAGCGAAAGCCAGGGGAGCAAACGGGG
rnacentral:rRNA from 1 species